rnacentral:rRNA from 1 species
CCUACGGGAGGCAGCAGUAGGGAAUUUUCCACAAUGGGCGAAAGCCUGAUGGAGCAACGCCGCGUGCAGGAUGAAUGUCUUCGGAUUGUAAACUGCUUUUAUAUGGACGAUAGGGGAGUAGCAUAUGAAUAAGGUCGCAAUCGCGG